GACGAACGCUGGCGGCGUGCCUAAUACAUGCAAGUUGAGCGCUGAAGGUUGGUACUUGUACCAACUGGAUGAGCAGCGAACGGGUGAGUAACGCGUGGGGAAUCUGCCUUUGAGCGGGGGACAACAUUUGGAAACGAAUGCUAAUACCGCAUAAAAACUUUAAACACAAGUUUUAAGUUUGAAAGAUGCAAUUGCAUCACUCAAAGAUGAUCCCGCGUUGUAUUAGCUAGUUGGUGAGGUAAAGGCUCACCAAGGCGAUGAUACAUAGCCGACCUGAGAGGGUGAUCGGCCACAUUGGGACUGAGACACGGCCCAAACUCCUACGGGAGGCAGCAGUAGGGAAUCUUCGGCAAUGGACGAAAGUCUGACCGAGCAACGCCGCGUGAGUGAAGAAGGUUUUCGGAUCGUAAAACUCUGUUGGUAGAGAAGAACGUUGGUGAGAGUGGAAAGCUCACCAAGGGACGGUAACUACCCAGAAAGGGAC
rnacentral:rRNA from 1 species